GCCAGCAGCCGCGGUUAAACCAAGAAAUUAAAUCAUAUUUAUACGGUAAAAAGGCAGUUAGACUUAAGAUAUAAGAGUAUAUUAAUUUUUUAUAAAAAGGUAAAAUUUGAAUAUAAAAGAUAAAUCUAAUAAUUUCUCGUUAGUUGAAGCUGCGAUAGUUUUGAGGGAAACUGGGAUUAGAUACCCCAUUAUUCUUAACUGUAAAUUAUUUAUAUUUACCAGAGUACUACGAAUUUUAUAUAAUUUAAAACUCAAAGGGCUUGGCGGUGUUUUAGACCUCUUAGGGGAACCUGUCUCAUAAUCGACAAUCCACGUUAGACCUAACCUUUUUUUGCAAGUCAGUUUAUAUACCGUUGUCGUCAGGUAACUUUUGAAAAUUUAGAAGUUAGCAAAUUAAUAAAAUAAAUUAAGACGUCAAAUCAAGGUGUAACCGAUAAAAAGGGAGAAGAUGGGUUACAAUUAUUUAAGUUAUAAUUACAGAUUAUUAUGUGAAAUAAUUUUAUGAAGGAGGACUUAAAAGUAAAACAUAUUAUAUAAACAUUUUGAAUAAGGCUCUGAAACGUGCACACAUCGCCCGCCGCUCUAAAUA
rnacentral:rRNA from 1 species